UACGUAGGGCGCAAGCGUUGUCCGGAAUUAUUGGGCGUAAAGAGCUCGUAGGCGGCCUGUUGCGUCCGCUGUGAAAUCCCGGGGCUCAACCCCGGGCCUGCAGUGGAUACGGGCUGGCUAGAGGCAGGCAGGGGAGAACGGAAUUCCUGGUGUAGCGGUGAAAUGCGCAGAUAUCAGGAGGAACACCGGUGGCGAAGGCGGUUCUCUGGGCCGAUACUGACGCUGAGGAGCGAAAGCGUGGGGAGCGAACGGG
rnacentral:rRNA from 1 species